CUUCAGUCUCCAUGCUGGUGCAUAUGGCAUUAGAAAACAUUGCUUCCUCAAAUUAUCUGCUCCCGUACUAGAAAUGCUGCUACCUGCCUUAUUAAAGGUACACUCUACUGAAAGGUCCCAGACACCAGAUAAUCCUGUGGCAGCAGUGGCAAUAGCAACCUGCUAGACCCAAAACUCCAAAACUCAAAAGGAGAGGAACUUUUCUCUCUGUUCAGUGGAGUUGCAGCUCUAAGAGCAUCCAGCUGCAGCUGAGUCUGCAUCAUCACGCCAGGAGCCAGACUGGAGAAUGGUACCACAGCAGGGGCUGACAAAGGAGUGACCAUAGCCAGGCUUCUGGAUUCCAUAGACUGCCUUCAUCCCCAUCGGAAGAUGGUCUUCCUUCCCUCCAGCUCAACUGCUGCUUCUGCAGAGGAUGCGGCUCAAAGGAAAACAUGGAGGGAUAAUAAGAAGGAUGGGGAAAGCAGGGCAGGUCAAGCUCUGCAACUCGCUGUUUCCAACAGUGGCAGCAGCUGCUCCUGAAUAAAAAACUAGCCUGAGCAGGAGGGUGAGAGAGCGAAGCUUUUAGAAAAGUCUGAGAUGUAAACCAGUAUCAGAUGGGACGGAGAUACUUUGCCUGAUGAGUUUAAACAGAUCCUCCCCUCCUACCCCAUGCCUAAACAGGGAGAUUAUGAGAGCAAGUUUACUAUCAAGUAUCAAAAAAAUUAGGGGCCGGCCCCGUGGCCGAGUGGUUAAGUUCACGCGCUCCACUGCAGGCAGCCUAGUGUUUUGUCCGUUCAAAUC